AGAACCAAUGGGUGUGCCUGAGUCUCAUCACCUCUCAACCAGGGAAGCUGUUUCAACCUGGAACACUAUUAUCCUGCGUUGGUCUUUCAGUCAUUGCAGGAAGUCCUGAAGAUCAGCAGUUGUCCCGAUCCUGCCCAAACACCUGACUUAAACAAUCAACAUAACGAAUCACAGCGAUAGGCUAUGAUUUGUAAUCCGGUAUGAGCUGGAACGAAAGCUUGUACACACUCCUGCCAUUCAGAUCUGGAGCUAUCCACCCUGUUCCCAGCAUGCAGGACCCAUUGAUUACAGGGCGGUGGCUGCUAAGAAGAAGAAAUGAAUAGCUGCUGACCAGAAGACUGCAGUGAAGGGAGCACUGGUCCACACCUGCCCUGUCUGUCAGCCUCAAUUUAUCAGGACAUGGACUCUACAAGGUGUCAGAACAGCCUCAAUUCAUCAGGACAUGGACUCUACAAGGUGUCAGAACAGCCUCAAUUCAUCAGGACAUGGACUCUACAAGGUGUCAGAAUAGCCUCAAUUCAUCAGGACAUGGACUCUACAAGGUGUCAGAACAGCCUCAAUUCAUCAGGACAUGGACUCUACAAGGUGUCAGAAUAGCCUCAAUUCAUCAGGACAUGGACUCUACAUGGUGUCAGAACAGCCUCAAUUCAUCAGGACAUGGACUCUACAAGGUGUCAGAACAGCCUCAAUUCAUCGAGGCAUGGACUCUACAAGGUGUCAGAACAGCCUCAAUUCAUCAGGACAUGGACUCUACAAGGUGUCAGAACAGCCUCAAUUCAUCAGGACAUGGACUCUACAAGGUGUCAGAACAGCCUCAAUUCAUCAGGGUAUGGACUCUACAAGGUGUUGAAAGCGUUCCACAGGGAUGCUGGCUCAUGUUGACUCCAAUGCUCCCCACAUUUGUGUCAAGUUGGCUGAAUGUCUUUUGGGUGGUGGACCAUUCUUGAUACAUGCAUGAAAAACCCAGCAGCGUUGCAGUUCUUGACACAAACCAGUACACCUGGCACCUACUAUCAAGCCAAGUUGAAAGGUGCUUCAAUCUUUUGUCUUGCCCAUUCACACUCUGAAUUGCACACAUACUGUACACAAUCCAUGUCUCAAUUGUCUCAGGGCUUAAAAAUCCUUCUUUAACAUGUCUCCUCCCCUUCAUUGAAGUGGAUUUUACAGGUGAUAUCAAUAAGGGAUCAUUGCUUUCACCUGGUCAGUCUAUGUCAUGGAAAGAGCAGGUGUUCUUAAUGUUUUGUCUACCCAGUGUAUGUUAUGUAUAAAAGUCAUAUGUGUGCAUUGUUUAGUAUUUUGAUUUCUUUAAAACAAUGUCAUUGUUGGAGUUCAGAUGUUUGACGUGAUUGUUGGGUGACUAGGUGGGUUCUUAUCAAAUAAAUAUGCCUAAUUCAUUCUGCAAAGGGUUAAUCUGGUUUGACAGAACAUGUCAACAAGUUAGUUCUGAAUUGCUUUAAAUACAGCAGUGCAUUCUGACACCAUGAAUUGAAAUAGAAUUCACCUCGUUCAUAUAGUUGGCAGAAAUGACAAGGGAUUAAAUAUAGACCACUGGCGGAAGGAGGAGAGGAUCUGGUCAAAUAAG
ensembl:lncRNA